rnacentral:rRNA from 1 species
GAUGAACGCUGGCGGCGUGCCUAAUACAUGCAAGUCGAGCGAACAGAUGAGGAGCUUGCUCCUCUGACGUUAGCGGCGGACGGGUGAGUAACACGUGGAUAACCUACCUAUAAGACUGGGAUAACUUCGGGAAACCGGAGCUAAUACCGGAUAAUAUAUUGAACCGCAUGGUUCAAUAGUGAAAGACGGUUUUGCUGUCACUUAUAGAUGGAUCCGCGCCGCAUUAGCUAGUUGGUAAGGUAACGGCUUACCAAGGCAACGAUGCGUAGCCGACCUGAGAGGGUGAUCGGCCACACUGGAACUGAGACACGGUCCAGACUCCUACGGGAGGCAGCAGUAGGGAAUCUUCCGCAAUGGGCGAAAGCCUGACGGAGCACCGCCGCGUGAGUGAUGAAGGUCUUCGUAUCGUAAAACUCUGUUAUUAGGGAAGAACAAAUGUGUAAGUAACUAUGCACGUCUUGACGGUACCUAAUCAGAAAGCCACGGCUAACUACGUG